rnacentral:rRNA from 2 species
ACUCCUACGGGAGGCAGCAGUUGGGAAUCUUAGACAAUGGACGAAAGUCUGACCUAGCGACGCCGCGUGAGGGAAGAAGGCCUUCGGGUUGUAAACCUCUGUCAUGGGGGAAGAAGUAAGUGACGGUACCCCAAGAGGAAGCCCCUGCUAACUACGUGCCAGCAGCCGCGGUAAU